rnacentral:rRNA from 1 species
AGGAUGAACGCUGGCGGCGUGCCUAAUACAUGCAAGUCGAACGCACAGCGAAAGGUGCUUGCACCUUUCAAGUGAGUGGCGAACGGGUGAGUAACACGUGGACAACCUGCCUCAAGGCUGGGGAUAACAUUUGGAAACAGAUGCUAAUACCGAAUAAAACUUAGUGUCGCAUGACACAAAGUUAAAAGGCGCUUUGGCGUCACCUAGAGAUGGAUCCGCGGUGCAUUAGUUAGUUGGUGGGGUAAAGGCCUACCAAGACAAUGAUGCAUAGCCGAGUUGAGAGACUGAUCGGCCACAUUGGGACUGAGACACGGCCCAAACUCCUACGGGAGGCUGCAGUAGGGAAUCUUCCACAAUGGGCGAAAGCCUGAUGGAGCAACGCCGCGUGUGUGAUGAAGGCUUUCGGGUCGUAAAGCACUGUUGUAUGGGAAGAACAGCUAGAAUAGGGAAUGAUUUUAGUUUGACGGUACCAUACCAGAAAGGGACGGCUAAAUACGUGCCAGCAGCCGCGGUAAUACGUAUGUCCCGAGCGUUAUCCGGAUUUAUUGGGCGUAAAGCGAGCGCAGACGGUUGAUUAAGUCUGAUGUGAAAGCCCGGAGCUCAACUCCGGAAUGGCAUUGGAAACUGGUUAACUUGAGUGCAGUAGAGGUAAGUGGAACUCCAUGUGUAGCGGUGGAAUGCGUAGAUAUAUGGAAGAACACCAGUGGCGAAGGCGGCUUACUGGACUGUAACUGACGUUGAGGCUCGAAAGUGUGGGUAGCAAACAGGAUUAGAUACCCUGGUAGUCCACACCGUAAACGAUGAACACUAGGUGUUAGGAGGUUUCCGCCUCUUAGUGCCGAAGCUAACGCAUUAAGUGUUCCGCCUGGGGAGUACGACCGCAAGGUUGAAACUCAAAGGAAUUGACGGGGACCCGCACAAGCGGUGGAGCAUGUGGUUUAAUUCGAAGCAACGCGAAGAACCUUACCAGGUCUUGACAUCCUUUGAAGCUUUUAGAGAUAGAAGUGUUCUCUUCGGAGACAAAGUGACAGGUGGUGCAUGGUCGUCGUCAGCUCGUGUCGUGAGAUGUUGGGUUAAGUCCCGCAACGAGCGCAACCCUUAUUGUUAGUUGCCAGCAUUCAGAUGGGCACUCUAGCGAGACUGCCGGUGACAAACCGGAGGAAGGCGGGGACGACGUCAGAUCAUCAUGCCCCUUAUGACCUGGGCUACACACGUGCUACAAUGGCGUAUACAACGAGUUGCCAACCCGCGAGGGUGAGCUAAUCUCUUAAAGUACGUCUCAGUUCGGAUUGUAGUCUGCAACUCGACUACAUGAAGUCGGAAUCGCUAGUAAUCGCGGAUCAGCACGCCGCGGUGAAUACGUUCCCGGGUCUUGUACACACCGCCCGUCACACCAUGGGAGUUUGUAAUGCCCAAAGCCGGUGGCCUAACCUUUUAGGAAGGAGCCGUCUAAGGCAGGACAGAUGACUGGGGUGAAGUCGU